rnacentral:rRNA from 1 species
CCUACGGGGGGCUGCAGUGGGGAAUAGUGGACAAUGGGGGGAACCCUGAUCCAGCCAUGCCGCGUGUGUGAAGAAGGCCCUCGGGUUGUAAAGCACUUUCAGUGAGGAAGAACGCCUGGUGGUUAAUACCCAUCAGGAAAGACAUCACUCACAGAAGAAGCACCGGCUAACUCCGUGCCAGCAGCCGCGGUAAUACGGAGGGUGCGAGCGUUAAUCGGAAUUACUGGGCGUAAAGCGCGCGUAGGUGGCUUGAUAAGCCGGUUGUGAAAGCCCCGGGCUCAACCUGGGAACGGCAUCCGGAACUGUCAAGCUAGAGUGCAAGAGAGGGAGGUAGAAUUCCCGGUGUAGCGGUGAAAUGCGUAGAGAUCGGGAGGAAUACCAGUGGCGAAGGCGGCCUUCUGGACUGACACUGACACUGAGGUGCGAAAGCGUGGGUAGCAAACAGGAUUAGAUACCCGUGUAGUA